UACAGAGGUCCCAAGCGUUGUUCGGAUUCACUGGGCGUAAAGGGUGCGUAGGCGGUCGUGUAAGUCUGAUGUGAAAUCUCACAGCUUAACUGUGAAACUGCAUUGGAUACUAUCCGGCUAGAGGAAUGGAGGGGAGACUGGAAUACUUGGUGUAGCAGUGAAAUGCGUAGAUAUCAAGUGGAACACCAGUGGCGAAGGCGAGUCUCUGGACAUUUCCUGACGCUGAGUCACGAAAGCCAGGGGAGCAAACGGG
rnacentral:rRNA from 1 species